rnacentral:rRNA from 1 species
CGAAAGCCUGACGGAGCAACGCCGCGUGGGGGAAGAAGGUUCUUGGGCUGUCAACCACUUUUCUCAGGGAAGAAGAUCUGACGGUACCUGAGGAAUCAGCCUCGGCUAACUCCGUGCCAGCAGCCGCGGUAAUACGGAGGAGGCAAGCGUUAUCCGGAAUCAUUGGGCGUAAAGCGUUCGUAGGCGGCUGUUCAAGUCUGCUGUCAAAGGCUGGAGCUCAACUCCGGUAGAGCAGUGGAAACUGGUGCGCUAGAGGGCGACAGGGGUAGAGGGAAUUCCCAGUGUAGCGGUGAAAUGCGUAGAGAUUGGGAAGAACACCGGUGGCGAAAGCGCUCUACUGGGUCGCACCUGACCCUCAGGGACGAAAGCUAAGGUAGCG